rnacentral:rRNA from 1 species
GACGAACGCUGGCGGCGUGCUUAACACAUGCAAGUCGAACGGAAAGGCCCUGCUUUUGUGGGGUGCGCGAGUGGCGAACGGGUGAGUAACACGUGAGUAACCUGCCCUUGACUUUGGGAUAACGUCAUGAAACUGGGGCUAAUACCGGAUAGGAGCUCCUGCUGCAUGGUGGGCGUUGGAAAGUUUCGGCGGUUGGGGAUGGACUCGCGGCUGAUCAGCUUGUUGGUGGGGUAGUGGCUUACCAAGGCUUUGACGGGUAGCCGGCCUGAGAGGGUGACCGGCCACAUUGGGAAUGAGACACGGCCAAGCAUCCUACGGGAGGAAGCAGUGGGGAAUAUUGCACAAUGGGCGGGAGCCUGAUGCAGCAACGCCGCGUGCGGGAUGACGGCCUUCGGGUUGUAAACCGCUUUCGCCUGUGACGAAGCGUGAGUGACGGUAAUGGGUAAAGAAGCACCGGCUAACUACGUG